rnacentral:rRNA from 1 species
UCGACGCUUCUUUUUCCCCGGAGCUUGCUCCACCGGAAAAAGAGGAGUGGCGAACGGGUGAGUAACACGUGGGUAACCUGCCCAUCAGAAGGGGAUAACACUUGGAAACAGGUGCUAAUACCGUAUAACAAUCAAAACCGCAUGGUUUUGAUUUGAAAGGCGCUUUCGGGUGUCGCUGAUGGAUGGACCCGCGGUGCAUUAGCUAGUUGGUGAGGUAACGGCUCACCAAGGCCACGAUGCAUAGCCGACCUGAGAGGGUGAUCGGCCACAUUGGGACUGAGACACGGCCCAAACUCCUACGGGAGGCAGCAGUAGGGAAUCUUCGGCAAUGGACGAAAGUCUGACCGAGCAACGCCGCGUGAGUGAAGAAGGUUUUCGGAUCGUAAAACUCUGUUGUUAGAGAAGAACAAGGAUGAGAGUAACUGUUCAUCCCUUGACGGUAUCUAACCAGAAAGCCACGGCUAACUACGUGCCAGCAGCCGCGGUAAUACGUAGGUGGCAAGCGUUGUCCGGAUUUAUUGGGCGUAAAGCGAGCGCAGGCGGUUUCUUAAGUCUGAUGUGAAAGCCCCCGGCUCAACCGGGGAGGGUCAUUGGAAACUGGGAGACUUGAGUGCAGAAGAGGAGAGUGGAAUUCCAUGUGUAGCGGUGAAAUGCGUAGAUAUAUGGAGGAACACCAGUGGCGAAGGCGGCUCUCUGGUCUGUAACUGACGCUGAGGCUCGAAAGCGUGGGGAGCAAACAGGAUUAGAUACCCUGGUAGU